GAAAUGCGAUAAGUAGUGUGAAUUGCAGAAUUCAGUGAAUCAUCGAAUCUUUGAACGCACAUUGCGCCCCUUGGUAUUCCAUGGGGCAUGCCUGUUCGAGCGUCAUUUGUACCCUCAAGCUCUGCUUGGUGUUGGGUGUUUGUCCCGUCUCCGCGCGUGGACUCGCCCCAAAGUGAUUGGCAGACGGCGUACUGGUCCCGGAGCGCAGCACAUGUCGCGCAAACGAGUGCCUUGGUACGGCGGCGUCCAUAAGCCCCUCUCUCACGCUCUUGACCUCGGAUCAGGUAGGGAUACCCGCUGAACUUAAGC
rnacentral:misc_RNA from 1 species